rnacentral:rRNA from 1 species
AUGGUGGGAAUCGCCACCGUGGCUGCGGCGGUCAGCGAGGCAACAGAGCCGGGGGUGGCGGGAACCAGCCCUGCUAUCCCAAUCAGCAGCCUACGCCACCAUGAAACGGUGGCUACAACCCCUGGACGGGGGUCGUGCAUGCGUACAACAUGCCAGUUCUGCGACCCCCCGCCCCAGGUCUUCUCGGCUCGCGCCCGCCGACUCACUGGGCGCUGCUGGCCGCCCCGCAGCCGGGCCCUGCCGCCUCGCCCUUCAGCUUCCGCGGCCCACCUAUUGCCACCGCGCCCUUCGGCCAUGGCGGCCCGCCCGUCGCUCCACCUCCCACGCCUCCUACGUACGGGGCUUACGGGGCCUUUGGUGGCGCGCUGGCCUACUCAGGCGCGUGGGAUCCGGCGUUGCUUGCUGCCCUCCAGCAAACCCCCUCCCCGGCGACGUACUCUGAUGGCGGUGAUUGGUUCAUGGACUCCAGCGGAACAGCCCACAUGUCUGCACACCCGGGACACUCGCACCAUGAUGGUACUUCACCGAUGUGAUAGUCCCGGCGAUUUAUACCCUGUUCAGUCGCCGCCUUCUACUCCAGGUGGUCCUCGAGCUCUUUCUGCCGGCAUUGAUCUUUAG